rnacentral:snRNA from 1 species
AGCGGGGUAAAGCCAGAGGA